rfam:Penicillium italicum strain PHI-1 contig1714, whole genome shotgun sequence.
GGCUUUGUGGCCCAGUGGUUAAGGCAUCCCGCUCGUACUAACCAGUGCUAACGGGGGGGUCCCGCGUUCAAAUCGCGGCAGAGCCA